rnacentral:rRNA from 1 species
AGAGUUUGAUCAUGGCUCAGGACGAACGCUGGCGGCGUGCCUAACACAUGCAAGUCGAACGAGAAUUUCCGAAAUAAUCCCUUCGGGGUGCGUUUCGGGAAGGAAAGUGGCGGACGGGCGAGUAACGCGUGAGUAACCUGCCCAUAAGAGGGGAAUAAUCCGUGGAAACGCGGACUAAUACCGCAUAUUGUUAUCAAACCGCAUGAUUUGAUAAUGAAAGAUUUUAUCGCUUAUGGAUGGACUCGCGUCCGAUUAGAUAGUUGGCGGGGUAACGGCCCACCAAGUCGACGAUCGGUAGCCGAACUGAGAGGUUGAUCGGCCGCAUUGGGACUGAGACACGGCCCAGACUCCUACGGGAGGCAGCAGUGGGGAAUAUUGCGCAAUGGGGGCAACCCUGACGCAGCAACGCCGCGUGCGGGAAGAAGGUCUUCGGAUUGUAAACCGCUGUCGCAAGGGAAGAAGAAAGUGACGGUACCUUGUGAGAAAGUCACGGCUAACUACGUGCCAGCAGCCGCGGUAAUACGUAGGUGACAAGCGUUGUCCGGAUUUACUGGGUGUAAAGGGCGCGUAGGCGGACUGUCAAGUCAGUCGUGAAAUGCCGGGGCUUAACCCCGGAGCUGCGAUUGAAACUGACAGCCUUGAGUAUCGGAGAGGAAAGCGGAAUUCCCAGUGUAGCGGUGAAAUGCGUAGAUAUUGGGAGGAACACCGGUGGCGAAGGCGGCUUUCUGGACGACAACUGACGCUGAGGCGCGAAAGUGUGGGGAGCAAACAGGAUUAGAUACCCUGGUAGUCCACACCGU